rnacentral:rRNA from 1 species
AUGGCUGGAUUCGCUGAUGCACUGAGGCCGGAUAAGUUUACCGGUGUGCACUUUAAGAGGUGGCAGGUGAAGACCACGCUCUGGCUUACUGCUCUGAAAGUUUUCCACGCUAGUGUUGGUGCUCCAGAGGGAAUGACUGACGAAGAUCGGAGAAAAUUCCAGGAAGCCAAUACUAUGUUUGUGGGAUGCAUUCUGAGUGUUCUUGCUGACCGUCUGUGUGAUGUGUACAUGCACAUAAAUGACGGAAAGAUUAUGUGGGAUGCACUGAAUGCAAAAUUCGGUGCAACAGAUGCAGGCAGUGAACUGUACAUCAUGGAGAGUUUUCAUGACUACAAGAUGGUGAAUAACCGUUCUGUGGUUGAACAAGCUCAUGCGAUACAGUGCAUUGUGAAGGAACUUGAACUCCUUAAAUGUGUUCUACCCGACAAAUUCGUGGCUGGGUGCAUGAUUGCAAAGUUGCCUCCUUCAUGGAGGAAUUUCGCCACAACUCUGAAUUCAACAAGGCUGAGCUAG